rnacentral:lncRNA from 10 species
GGUGAGACCCCUCACUCUUCCCCAGUGCUGAAGAUGCACAUAGAAGAUCAGUCACUCAGACACCUCAGGAAAUAAGUCUCAGCACUUUUCCCUGAAGACUUCUGGUCCAUACUAACACUGGCUUCUGCCAAACAUACUUUCUUCCAAUGGGUACAAAGGCGGCAUAAUUGUCGGAGCUUGGUGUAUCAGUUAGCUAUUGCUGCGUAAGAAAAUACCCCGAAACCUGAAACAAAAGCCAGUUCUUUUUGCCUGUGCAUCUGCGUCCUGGCUGGUUAUCUGGUGGUCAUGAUGGGCCCUGUCGAUCUUGGCUGGGUUCACGCAGGUGUGCUGUCCACGGGGUUGGGUUGUUGGCUGAGUAGAAUUGGGCUUGCUCACAUUAAUGGAACAAGUGGUCAGAUCCAGCUGUAUUUCUUACAGUUUCUCACCCUCCUGCAGGCCAGCCUGGGCUUGUUUUCCCGGUAGUACUGGGUUCUGAGAGAGAGUAACUGCAUGGAAGGCCUUGAAGACUGGGCUUGGGCCUGCUGUACCCACAUGACUGCUUCUGCCACGUUCUACUGGCCAAGCUCUAUGGGCAGCUCAGACACAAGGGAAGAGACUCUGCUGCUUCCUGGGAGAAGCUGCAAGACCACAUUGCGAAGGAACAUGUUGUUGCUGCUCCCAUGUUACCUUCGUCAGUGACCUGAGAUGCAGACUGGAUCUAGGGAAUGGUGUUUCCUGUGUGAUGCCUUCCAGGAGUAUCUGCACCACGGGCAGUGCCAGGCCGAGGACAGAGGGCCUAAUGGAGGACACUCUACAACUCCAUCCUGCUGCUGGGGGGGCUUGGGGGCGCCUCCACGAGGGUCUUCAGAGGAAAGGCAUGUGUGUGGUCUGUGGCCUGCCAGCAGGAGAGCUGGGGGAGGCCGGCAUCUUGAGGCUGUUGGCAGCAAGUGCAGGCAGAGGCCUCGGGCCAGAGGGGAGGUGGCAGGGCUCAGGUGCCCUGUGCUUCCUCGGAGAAGGCACUUGGGAUGAAGGCUUAGUCCUGCCUGGUAAACCUGGAGGCCUGUGAACACUGGGGUUAGCCCCAACAAGGGAGGAGGUUCCCGCUGCCUCACUAAGAACAGCCUGCUGCUACACUCACCCUGACAGCUGCUCCGCUCCCAGUGAACCCCACCCCGAGAAGGCUCAUCGGGGCCACGGACCUCCCUCAGCGCUGCAUUCAGAAUCCCUCAGGAGUUGUAAACUUCCUGAUUUCUGGACCCAUCACCAGAGCCCAACGUCACGGGUAAGGGUUAGGGCCUGGAUGUCAGGAUUCAAUUUGGAGAAUUCCCCGGGGCAAUUCCACCAUUGCAGACACUGAAACGGAGCUGGGGCAGAAGAAUCACACCAGGUGGCUCGAGCUGAGCGGCUGGGAGUGUGGCAGUGAAGACACUGAGUGUCCGUCAGGGAAGAUGGCUCUGGGUACAACAGCGUGCCCAGCCCCUUAGAUAUUCUCUGCACGGAAGUGGCCCCACCCUGAAGCGCGUGUGCAGUGACUGUUCAUGCUUCUGUGUGUGUGCAGGAGUAGUUUGGUUGGAGUGUGCAUAUGCGAAUGUGUGUGUAUGGAAGUCUAUCUAUCUGUAAUGUAAAGCAGUUGCGUAAUGCAAAUGUGUGUGUAUGGACAUCUAUCUGUAAUGCAAAGCAGUUGCGUAAUGCAAAUGUGUGUGUAUGGAUGUCUAUCUAUCUGUAAUGUAAAGUUCCCAAGUAUUGUGUAUAUCAUUGUUUGAGUUUUUAAAUUCUAAGAUAAUUUCUAGAGAAAAAGAUGUACGGGUGAUUCCUGGUGAAAAGCAGGGACCGUGGGCCUCAUAUUGAGACACAUUUCACGCUGUUUAGAUUGUAAUGGCAAUUAUGUAUGACUUUUGUACGUUUUUUAAAAAGCCAAUAAAAUACAUU